ensembl:snRNA U6 U6 spliceosomal RNA
GCGCUCACUUUGGCAGCACAUACACUAAAAUUAGAACAAUACUGAGAAGAUUAGCAUGGCCCUUGCACAAGGAUGACACACAAAUUCAUGAGGCAUUUCACACUUUU